UAGAGAAUCCUAAGGCCGGCGGAAGAAUUGCAGUUAAGGAACUAGGCAAAUUGACCCCGUAAGUUCGCGAGAAGGGGUGCCUGCGAGAGCAGGCCGCAGAGAAUAGGCCCAAGCAACUGUUUAGCAAAAACACAGGUCUCUGCUAAAGCGUAAGCUGAUGUAUAGGGGCUGACGCCUGCCCGGUGCUGGAAGGUUAAGGGGAACACUUAGCGCAAGCGAAGGUGUGAACUUAAGCCCCAGUAAACGGCGGCCGUAACUAUAACGGUCCUAAGGUAGCGAAAUUCCUUGUCAGGUAGGUUCUGACCCGCACGAAUGGCGUAAUGACUUGGGCACUGUCUCAACUGCAAAUCCGGCGAAGUUGUAGUGCGAGUGAAGAUGCUCGCUACCCGCGAUUGGACGGAAAGACCCCGUAGAGCUUUACUGUAGCUUAGCAUUGAAUUCCGGUAUUGUCUGUACAGGAUAGGUGGGAGACUGGGAAACUAGGGCGUCAGCCUUAGUGGAGUCAACCUUGGGAUACCACCCUGACAGUACUGGGGUUCUAACAGGACGCCAUGAAUCUGGUGACUGGACAUUGUUAGGUGGGCAGUUUGACUGGGGCGGUCGCCCCCUAAAAAGUAACGGAGGCGCCCAAAGGUUCCCUCAGAACGGUCGGAAAUCGUUCGUAGAGUGCAAAGGCAGAAGGGAGCCUGGCUGCGAGACAUACAAGUCGAGCAGGGACGAAAGUCGGGCUUAGUGAUCCGGUGGUACCUCGUGGGAGGGCCAUCGCUCAACGGAUAAAAGCUACCUCGGGGAUAACAGGCUGAUCUCCCCCAAGAGUCCACAUCGACGGGGAGGUUUGGCACCUCGAUGUCGGCUCGUCGCAUCCUGGGGCUGUAGUAGGUCCCAAGGGUUGGGCUGUUCGCCCAUUAAAGCGGCACGCGAGCUGGGUUCAGAACGUCGUGAGACAGUUCGGUCCCUAUCCGUCGCGGGCGUAGGAAAUUUGAGAGGAGCUGUCCUUAGUACGAGAGGACCGGGAUGGACUGACCCCUGGUGCACCAGUUGUUCCGCCAGGAGCAUGGCUGGGUAGCUAAGUCGGGAAGGGAUAAACGCUGAAAGCAUCUAAGCGUGAAGCCUCCCUCAAGAUGAGAUUUCCCAUAGCAUAAGCUAGUAAGACCCCUUGAAGAACACAAGGUUGAUAGGUCAGAGGUGUAAGUGCGGUAACGUAUUUAGCUGACUGAUACUAAUAGGUCGAGGGCUUGACCG
rnacentral:rRNA from 1 species